UCGAGAACUGACCGAGAGACCGCGAACUUGUAAUCGAACUACACCGUGUCGGGCGGGCGUUAUGUCCGCCCUACUCGGGACCUCGCAUCGUGUCCGCUGUCGCCUUUGAGUGUUUCGGGCACGAUUUGCGGGGACGAACGAAACCCCGGCGCGGCCUGCGCCAAGGAACAUAUGUCAGGACGGACGUGACGCCAACGCCUUUACGGUGAGGCGAUGUCCACUCUCUAUC
rnacentral:misc_RNA from 1 species